rnacentral:rRNA from 1 species
AACGAACGCUGGCGGCAGGCCUAACACAUGCAAGUCGAACGCCGUAGCAAUACGGAGUGGCAGACGGGUGAGUAACGCGUGGGAACAUACCCCUCGGUUCGGAAUAACUCAGGGAAACUUGAGCUAAUACCGGAUACGUCCGAGGUUUUAAUCGACCUUGGAGAAAGAUUUAUCGCCGGAGGAUUGGCCCGCGUCUGAUUAGCUUGUUGGUGAGGUAAUGGCUCACCAAGGCGACGANCAGUAGCUGGUCUGAGAGGAUGAUCAGCCACAUUGGGACUGAGACACGGCCCAAACUCCUACGGGAGGCAGCAGUGGGGAAUAUUGGACAAUGGGCGAAAGCCUGAUCCAGCCAUGCCGCGUGAGUGAUGAAGGCCUUAGGGUGUAAAGCUCUUUACCCGGGAAGAUAAUGACGGUACCGGGAGAAUAAGCCCCGGCUAACUUCGUGCCAGCAGCCGCAGUAAG